GAUGAAGAACGUAGCGAAAUGCGAUAAGUAAUGUGAAUUGCAGAAUUCAGUGAAUCAUCGAAUCUUUGAACACACAUUGCGCCCGCCAGUAUUCUGGCGGGCAUGCCUGUUCGAGCGUCAUUUCAACCCUCAGGCCCCCAGUGCCUGGUGUUGGGGAUCGGCCCAGCCUUCCUGUAAGGCCGCCGGCCCCGAAAUCUAGUGGCGGUCUCGCUGUAGUCCUCCUCUGCGUAGUAGCACAACCUCGCAGUUGGAACGCGGCGGUGGCCAUGCCGUUAAACACCCCACUUCUGAAAGUUGACCUCGGAUCAGGUAGGAAUACCCGCUGAACUUAAGCAUAUCAAUAAGCGGAGA
rnacentral:misc_RNA from 1 species